rnacentral:rRNA from 1 species
GUAGAUGGCAAGCGUUGUCCGGAAUUAUUGGGCGUAAAGCGCGCGCAGGCGGUUCUUUAAGUCUGAUGUGAAAGCCCACGGCUCAACCGUGGAGGGUCAUUGGAAACUGGAGAACUUGAGUACAGAAGAGGAAAGCGGAAUUCCACGUGUAGCGGUGAAAUGCGUAGAGAUGUGGAGGAACACCAGUGGCGAAGGCGGCUUUCUGGUCUGUAACUGACGCUGAGGCGCGAAAGCGUGGGGAGCAAACAGGAUUAGAUACCCUGGUAGUCCACGCCGUAAACGAUGAGUGCUAAGUGUUAGGGGGUUUUCCGCCCCCCUUAGUGCUGCGGCUAACGCAUUAAGCACUCCGCCUGGGGAGUACGGCCGCAAGGCUG